rnacentral:rRNA from 1 species
AUUGAACGCUGGCGGCAGGCCUAACACAUGCAAGUCGAGCGGAGCGGCGGACGGGUGAGUAAUGCCUAGGAAUCUGCCUGGUCGUGGGGGAUAACGUCCGGAAACGGGCGCUAAUACCGCAUACUAUCAGAUGAGCCUAGGUUGGGUUAGCUAGUUGUGGGGGUAAAGGCCUACCAAGGCGACGAUCCGUAACUGGUCUGAGAGGAUGAUCAGUCACACUGGAACGGGAACACGGUCCAGACUCCUACGGGAGGCAGCAUGGGGGAAGAUUGGAAAAGGGGCGAAAGCCUGAUCCAGCCAUGCCGCGUGUGUGAAGAAGGUCUUCGGAUUGGAAAGCAUUUUAAGUUGGGAGGCGUUACCAACAGAAUAAGCACCGGCUAACUUCGUGCCAGCAGCCGCGGUAAUAC